CACCAGCGACGGGCUCGCACUUCUUCGCAGUGCUGGUGACUAGUAACCUUCGGGUGAAGCCAAGACGAGC
rnacentral:ribozyme from 1 species